UCGUCGGGUGAAUUAGAAACAUUGCAUAUAAAUGCUGAAGCCCUUGGCGCUUUGUAUGCCAAAUAAGUCUUCUACCUCGAACAAGGCAAAAGCAUUGAAUAAACCGAAUAAAAUCUCGAACCCGCAAUAUUUGCUUUCGCAGCGUAAACAAAUGAAAUUAUACAAAAGAAAACAUAAAAGAAGAAGAAAUAAAAAAGACAACAGAAAAUUUCUUUGGAAUACACAGCAAUAAACAGUUGAAAACAGAAUUGUGCAAACAAGAGAAAAUAAAAAUAAAGACCAGAAGGCCAAGACUAAAAAUUUACAUACAAUUUAGGAUACCCAUCGAAUCCUGCCUUUGCUACUCGCAUUUUUGGUUUCUGCCGCUUGUUUAUUGUUGUUUGUGAUUCCCGAUUUUACGAAAGGAUACGAACGAAGAAUCAAAACAAAAAACCAUUUAAUCACACCCUCUCAACAACUGAGGGGAUGAAUGAGUGUCUAAGAUUAGAACCGGCGCUGAAGCUUCAUCAAGGUCAUAUAUACAUAUUUUGGAUUUGAAAAGGGUGGCGCAGAUAUAAGGCGAUAUAAAUCGGAAAUAAUAAUAGAAAGCAAUUGAUAAUGCUGUCAAUUUCCGAUUAUUCAAUGAUUUGUGUAAUAUUUUAUAUUGAGUCAAUGAGAGUUGAAACUUUAGCGUAAAAAUUUCAUAGUAAGAUUAUAAAUUUGUAGCAAUUUACAAAUGUUUUUUUGAUGCGUUCUAUAUUUCAAGAUUCCAAAAUAUAAAGUUGCA